AGAGUUUGAUCCUGGCUCAGGAUGAACGCUAGCUACAGGCUUAACACAUGCAAGUCGAGGGGCAUCAGGAAGAAAGCUUGCUUUCUUUGCUGGCGACCGGCGCACGGGUGAGUAACACGUAUCCAACCUGCCGAUGACUCGGGGAUAGCCUUUCGAAAGAAAGAUUAAUACCCGAUGGUAUAUCUGAAAGGCAUCUUUCAGCUAUUAAAGAAUUUCGGUCAUUGAUGGGGAUGCGUUCCAUUAGGUUGUUGGCGGGGUAACGGCCCACCAAGCCAUCGAUGGAUAGGGGUUCUGAGAGGAAGGUCCCCCACAUUGGAACUGAGACACGGUCCAAACUCCUACGGGAGGCAGCAGUGAGGAAUAUUGGUCAAUGGACGAGAGUCUGAACCAGCCAAGUAGCGUGAAGGAUGACUGCCCUAUGGGUUGUAAACUUCUUUUAUACGGGAAUAAAGUUAGGCACGUGUGCCUUUUUGUAUGUACCGUAUGAAUAAGGAUCGGCUAACUCCGUGCCAGCAGCCGCGGU
rnacentral:rRNA from 1 species